GAUGAACGCUGGCGGCGUGCCUAAUACAUGCAAGUCAAGCGAACAGAUGAGGAGCUUGCUCCUCUGACGUUAGCGGCGGACGGGUGAGCAACACGUGGAUAACCUACCUAUAAGACUGGGAUAACUUCGGGAAACCGGAGCUAAUACCGGAUAAUAUAUUGAACCGCAUGGUUCAAUAGUGAAAGACGGUUUUGCUGUCACUUAUAGAUGGAUCCGCGCCGCAUUAGCUAGUUGGUAAGGUAACGGCUUACCAAGGCAACGAUGCGUAGCCGACCUGAGAGGGUGAUCGGCCACACUGGAACUGAGACACGGUCCAGACUCCUACGGGAGGCAGCAGUAGGGAAUCUUCCGCAAUGGGCGAAAGCCUGACGGAGCAACGCCGCGUGAGUGAUGAAGGUCUUCGGAUCGUAAAACUCUGUUAUUAGGGAAGAACAAAUGUGUAAGUAACUAUGCACGUCUUGACGGUACCUAAUCAGAAAGCCACGGCUAACUACGUG
rnacentral:rRNA from 1 species